rnacentral:lncRNA from 10 species
ACUAUGCCCGGCUAAUUUUUGUAUUUUUUAGUAAAGAUGGGGUUUCACCAUCUUGGCCAUGCUAGUCUUGAACUCCUGACCUCGUGAUCCACCCACCUCAGCCUCCUAAAGUGCUGGGAUUACAGGCGUGAGCCACAGUGCCCGGCCUAAAAAAAAACUUUUUUCCUCAUUUAUGUUUUAAAUUUUAUUUUUAUUUAUUUUAUUUUAUUUUACUUAUUAUUAUUAUUUUUUAAGACAGAGUUUUGCUCUUAUUGCCCAGGCUACAGUGCAGUGGUGCAAUCUUGGCUCACUGCAAACUCCACCUUCCGGUUUCAAGCAAUUCUCCUGCCUCAGCAUCCCAAAUUGCUGAGAUUACAGGCGCCCACCACCACGCCCAGCUAAUUUUUUUGUAUUUUUAGUGGAGACAGGGUUUUACCAUGUUGGUUAGGCUGAUCUCGAACUGCUGACCUCGUGAUCCACCUGCCUCGGCCUCCCAAAGUGCUGGGAUUACAGGCGUGAGCCACCGCUCCUGGCCCUAUUUAUUUAUUUUUUUGAUACAUAAUAGAUGUACAUAUUUUCAGGGUGUAUGUGAUAAUUUAAUCUAUUCAUAUAAUGUGUAAAGAUCAAACUAGGACAACUGAGAUGUCCAUCACCUUAAAUAUUUGUCUUUUCUUUAUGCUAGGAUGUGAUUUUCUUAAAUGUG